rnacentral:lncRNA from 1 species
AAACUCCAUUUCUCUGCCACAAAAAGCUCCCCCGCCCCAACUCCCCUGGGAUCAACAGCACAAUUCUAAACCCAAAAACAUAAAAAAAUGGCAGCAAGUGUAGCAACAAUGGCGAUGCUCAAUGCAAAAUGCCUAAGCAUCAGCUCAACUAAGAUGAGCAGCCCAACAAAGCCAACCCCAAAGCCCUUCUCCCUUCUCUCCAUGCAGAACCUCCCCAAAGGCCUCACCAUCUCAAAACCAGCCAACAACUCAAACCUACCGUCUUCACUCGCUGGCAGCGCCAUUGCUGGAGCUAUCUUCUCAACCUUGAGCUCAUGUGACCCCGCCUUAGCUGCACAACAGAUUGCUGAAAUAGCUGAAGGAGACAACCGUGGGCUAGCUCUAUUGCUUCCCAUAAUCCCAGCGAUCGCUUGGGUCCUCUUCAACAUCCUCCAGCCAGCACUUAACCAGCUGAACCGAAUGAGGAGCUCCAAAGGGGUUAUCAUAGGGCUAGGGCUCGGAGGAUUGGCUGCAUCAGGGUUCAUGUCAAC